rnacentral:rRNA from 1 species
CAGCCGCCGCGGUAAUACCGGCGGCCCGAGUGGCGGUCACUAUUAUUGGGCUUAAAGCGUCCGUAGCCGGGUUGGGAAGUCCUCCGGGAAAUCUGGCCGCUUAACGGUCAGAAUGCCGGAGGAUACUCCCAGCCUAGGGAGCGGGAGAGGCCGAGGGUAUUCCCGGAGUGGGGGGGAAAUCCUAUAAUCCCGGGAGGACCGCCUGUGGCGAAGGCGCUCGGCUGGAACGCGUCCGACGGUGAGGGACGAAGGCCAGGGGAGCAAACCGGAUUAGAUACCCGGGUAGUCCUGGCUGUAAACGAUGCGGACUUUGUGUCGGACAAGCUAUGAGCUUGUCCGGUGCCGGAGGGAAACCGUUAAGUCCGCCGCCUGGGGAGUACGGCCGCAAGGCUGAAACUUAAAGGAAUUGGCGGG